rnacentral:lncRNA from 10 species
GAAUCACAGGGACCUUCUAGUCUCACUCCUUUAGUUUAAAGUCAGGAAAGGCUGGGCAUGGUGGCUCACCCAAAAAAGACAAUUAUUCUAUUUGGAGACUGGGAGAGGAGUUAAUGACUCUUAUGUCAUGUUCAGGCAAAUCCUGGGUCAGCGGGUCCAGGUCCCCAGGUCAGAGCAUGGAGCCUCAGUCCUUCCUAGUGCUGAACCCACCCUUUUCCCUGGACCCCUCCCCAACCUCCAAGCUCACCAGCCACCCACCCUAGGCUGACAGAGCCUGGUUGAAUCCCACCC